rnacentral:rRNA from 1 species
CAGGACGAACGCUGGCGGCGUGCCUAACACAUGCAAGUCGAGCGAGGAGAUCCUUCGGGAUGAUCCUAGCGGCGGACGGGUGAGUAACACGUGGGCAACCUGCCUCAUAGAGAGGAAUAGCCUUCCGAAAGGGAGAUUAAUACCUCAUAACAUUGCAGUUUCGCAUGGAACAGCAAUUAAAGGAGUAAUCCGCUAUGAGAUGGGCCCGCGGCGCAUUAGCUAGUUGGUGAGGUAACGGCUCACCAAGGCGACGAUGCGUAGCCGACCUGAGAGGGUGAUCGGCCACAUUGGGACUGAGACACGGCCCAGACUCCUACGGGAGGCAGCAGUGGGGAAUAUUGCACAAUGGGGGAAACCCUGAUGCAGCCAACGCCGCGUGAGUGAUGACGGUCUUCGGAUUGUAAAGCUCUGUCUUCAGGGACGAUAAUGACGGUACCUGAGGAGGAAGCCACGGCUAACUACGUGCCAGCCGCAGC